GUUACUUGGAAUGAGUUUUGCAUGAGCUGCGAACUGUUUAGCUCAGGUGAGUGUUGGUAAUGCAGACUGUGGUUUGAGUUUUGCACAUGUGGCUUCGGUUGUGACCAGUAUUGCAGAGAUUACUGCACACUC